rnacentral:tRNA from 1 species
GAUCGCGUGCCCGAGUGGUCAGGGACCGGUCUGCAAAACCGGCUACGCGGGUUCGAGUCCCGCCGCGGUCUCCA